rnacentral:rRNA from 1 species
AACGAACGCUGGCGGCGCGCCUAACACAUGCAAGUCGAACGGAGUUAUUUAAAGAAGCUGACUUCGGUUAGUGGAGUUUUUAUAACUUAGUGGCGAAAGGGUGUGUAACACGUGGGUAACCUGCCCUUAAGAUGGGGAUACUCCCGAGAAAUCGGGCACAAUACCGAAUACAAUUCCAAGGUAAAGGCUUUGGGAUAAAAGCUGCGAGCAAUCGUAGCGCUUUUGGAGGGACCUGCGUCCUAUCAGCUAGUUGGUGAGGUAAUAGCUCACCAAGGCAAAGACGGGUAGCCGGACUGAGAGGUUGAUCGGCCACACUGGAACUGAGACACGGUCCAGACUCCUACGGGAGGCAGCAGUGAGGUAAUUUUGCGCAAGUGGGCGAAAGCCUGACGCAGCAACGCCGCGUGGGGGAAGAAGGCCCUCGGGUUGUAAACUCCUUUCGUGAGGGAAAAGCCCCGAGCAAUCGGGGUGAUGGUACCUCAGGAAGAAGCCACGGCUAACUCUGUG